UGACCCCACGGCGCUAGCGGUCCUCGUGGUCUUCCAGGCCUAGCCGCCAUACACCCGCCCCCCAACGACUUCCAACCACCCCAGCAGCACAACCUCUUCGGGCGUUCCAACGCGGCGCCCCCUA
ensembl:misc_RNA